UUGACAAAUGGCAUGAAAAUCAUUCAAAUGAUUAUAUGGAUCCUCAUUUUCUAGGCCAUAAAAUGUAGGGAGACAAUUUAACACACUAGGUUUUAAUUCAAAACUCCUAGCAGCUACAUUUGGGUAUCUUAUGCAUGACGUGCUCAAAUUAGCUAAGGGACUAAAAUAGUCCUUAAAUGGCCUCUCCUGUGGUGCUUGUAAAUCCAUUUUAUUUUUAACGUGUUUGUGUGUGCGAAGUGUUUUUUCUAGUUCAAGGUCUAUAGGUUCAAGAUUAGGUAAUAAUGACCUACGACCAUGCAUGCAAAAUAAAUAAAAUAAAAAUAAAGAUGCAAACAAAACAAAAAAUAAAGAUGGGAACAAAACAAAUAAAAAUAAAGAAGAGGGAGAAAUUACGAUACUAACCUUAUUGCGCUAUUACAACCUUUCUAUAAAAAUACACAAAAAUAAAUACGUGAAAGAAAUUAACUAAAAAUUAAAUUAAUAAGAUAAACAAAAAAAAUUACAAAGAAAAAUAAAUGGAAAAUUAAAUUACAAAAUUUUAAAGAAGAGAAAAAGAAAAGAAAUACUAACCUUUAAAUGUAGAUUCACUUUUUUUUUCUUUUUUUUUUAAUAAUAAAAAAAAUACAAGAAAACAAAUAAAAGAAAUUAUUCACAAAAAUUAAUUCUAUGAAUUAAAAUUACUUACCUCCCCGGCAACGGCGCCAAAAACUUGUUGUGCAAAUUUUAAUGUACUCGCAAGCGCACGAAUCUAUUGUAGUAUAGAUCUAUGGUGACGAGUGUUGAUCCCACGAGGAGGUGGAUUUUAAUUGUGUAGAAUUAAUUUUGUAAAUGGGUGAUUGGAUUUAUGGUGGAAAUGAUUUGGAAUAUGCUAAAACUUAAAUUAAAAUGGCGAGAAUAAAUUCUAAAAUUGGAAUUGCAAUGGCGAGAAUAAAUUGAAGAUAAUUCUAUUGAAACGACGUACUUGGGUAUCUGGAUCCGUAUCAACAUGCAUCAUGGGCUAAAUAAUCCUUAUUAAUACCAAUUAAAUCAUGAGGGGGGAAUCCACACCGCAUGAACCACGCUCUAAUCAAUAUGGUGCUAAGGGCUUAUCGUGCCAAAUAAUAAUAACCUUAUACUAGAGAGCCGGUGUAACCAAGGCGGUAUCUAGACAAGACUAUUAUUAUUUGUCGACGAGAAGUCAAAACAUCCACAAAAAUUAAAGGGGAAGAGAAAAUAAAUUUACCAAAUUAAGCCCAUGACACAUGUUGAGACUUCACCUUCAACCCAAGCUUGAAAGAAAAUUAGCCACUCAUAGUUGAACUAGGGGCAAAAUGGGAAUUUAUUAAAAUACGAAGAAAAUACAAGAUGGAGAGGGAAUUACAGAAAAUGGAUCCCAAAAAUGGAUUCAGAGAUAUCAAAUUAGGGGGGGAGGCCCCCUUUUUAUAGAUACAUGGAGUAAAUCAUGGCCAUCGGAUUAAAAAUAAUUUGGACGCUCAGGAUUGCGCCACGUCAUCAGUCAACAGUCCACGGUUUGACCACGCGGAUGAACAGUAACACGGUUUGACCCGACUUUGAACAGUAACGCGGUUUGACCCGGAUGAACAGUAACGCGGUUUGGUUGAAAAUAAUCCUGUGUGAUGCAUGCACCGUACGCGAGAUUUUUCGUCCACUGAUAUGCUGCCACGUCACCAUCAACAGUACAUAAGAAUUUUAGUCCAACAGGAUCGUGACACCUCAUCAGUCAAUGCCACAUCAUCGGUCAAUGCCACGUCAUCAUCCGUCUAUGUGAACAGUGUCGUGAACAGUAACGUAUACAGUACCGUACACGUGAAUAGUACCGUACAUGUGAAUAGUGCCAUUUUUCCUUUUAUGCUCCUCCUAAGGUUUUCGACCGUCCUGAGUUCAAAAGUGAUGUCCGUUUUGCCGUCUGAUCCUCCUUUAUUGUGAAAUGACUAUAAUGCCCCUAAAAUACAUAAAAUACUUAAUUAAAAUAAAACACAUGUAAUUAAAUCACAAGAAGGUUAAAUAUAUAAAAGUAAGGGUUGUUAGUAAGACUUAAAAUGUAAAAUGACGGUUUUCUCCUUUAUAAAUAUGCAUUUUCUAACACUCAACACAUCUCUGCAAAACUAGUGUUAGAUGAUGUAAACAUUGAUCAAAAGAGUCACCAAAGACAGAAAAAUCAUCCAUAAAGACUUCAAGCAAUCGUUCAACCAUAUCAGAAAAAAUGCUUAACAUGCAUCGUUAAAAUGUAGCAGGUACAUUACAUAAUCCAAUUGGCAUCCUCCUAUAUGCAAAAGUGCCAAAAGGGCAAGCGAAAGUCAUUUUCUCUUGAUCUUUUGGUGCUAUGGGGAUCUGAUUAUAUCCUGAGUAGCCAUCUAGAAAGAAUAAAAUUUAUGGCGUGCUAAUCUAUCAAGCAUUUGAUCGAUAAAUGGUAAAGGAAAAUGGUCUUUACGUGUGACAGAAUUUAACUUUUCUAUAAUCAAUGCAUACACGCCAUCCUGUAGUCAUUCUAGUAGGUAUCAAUUCAUUAUCAGCAUUCGUAACAACUGUGACUCCUGACUUUUUGGGGACAACUUGUACAGGACUGACCCAUGAACUAUCAGAAAUGGGAUAAAUGAACCGUGCAUCUAAUAGCGUAAGGACUUUAGUUCUAACAACUUCUUUCAUGUUAGGAUUUAACCGACGUUGCAUUUCCCUAGUAGGUUUAGCAUUUUCAUCAAGGUGAAUGUAAUGCAUGCAGUCUACUGGGUUUAUACAUUUUAUGUCCGCUAUGGUCCAUCCUAAUGCUCCUUUGUGCUCUUUUAAAAUAUCCAACAACUUACCUUUUUGUUUGUCGUUUAGGGAUGAUGAGAUGAUUACUGGUAGAGUGCUUUCUUCUCCCAAAAACUCAUAUUCCAAUGUGUUGGGUAAUGGUUAGAGCUCGAGUUUCGGUAGUGAUUAUGAUGAUGGGAUGAGUUUCUUCUCUGAUGGAUCUAGUUGUUCAACUCUUGACUUCCAUUUAUUAGUGUCCAUGGAUGGUGCUGAGUCAAGCAAGGCGUUGACCUCAUCAACUGAUCUGUCAAUAUCAAAAUCCAAACUAAAGUGAGUUAAGCAUGUUUGUAAAGGGUCAUCACUAAGGUUUGAAAUAAAAGUGUCAUCAACUACUGUGUCUAUUAAAUCCACAUCAACAAUUCCAUCAUCUGCAUUGUGAGGUUGUUUGGCAAUGUUGAAGAUGUUAAGCUCCAUAGUCAUGUUGCCGAAUGACAACUGCAUAUUUCCAGUUUUGCAUUGAAUGUGAGCAUCUGCAAUUGCCAAGAAAGGUCGGCCUAUAAUAAUGGGGAUGUGCUUCCUUGAAUCCUGUAUUGGCUAAGUGUCAAUUACAAUGAAAUCAACAAGAAAAUAAAACUUGUCUACCUGGAUAAGCACGUCCUCCACAAUACCACGACGUAUUCUCGUGGACCGAUCUGCAAGUUGUAACACCACUGGAGUUGGGUGUAAUUCUCCCAGUCCAAGUUUCACAAAUACAGAGUAAGGCAACAAUUUUACACUAGCUCCUAAAUCCAACAAAACAUUCUCAAUUGUGUGGUUCCCUAUACUACAUGAAAUAGUGGGGGAGCCUGGAUCUUUGCAUUUUAGAGGAAUUUUGUGUUGUGAGUAUAGAACUAACGUUUUCUGAUAAAAUUAUCUUCUUUUGAACAUUAACGUUUCUCUUUUUAGUACAAAGGUCUUUAAGAAAUUUGGCAUAAGAUGGAAAUUGUUUUAUAGCAUUAAGUAAAGGGAUGUUAACACUUACUUGUUUGAAGAUUUCAAGAAUCUCACCUGUGGAUUUUCCCUUCUUUCCUUUAGCUAACCUUUGAGGAAAUGGAGCUUUGGGAACAUAUUCUCGUGGGUUGGUUUCUUUUUUCUCUUCCGAUGGUGAGUCCUCAGCAUUCACUGGUACAAUUUGAUUUUCUUUUGUCACCGGCAUCUCUACUUUGUUGUCGACUUCUUUUCCUUUUCACAAGGUCAUGACUACUUUAACCUCUCCAUGCUGCUGUGGUGAACUGGUACUUGCUUCAUGCACUCCUUUAGGAUUAGGCACUGGUUGACUUGGAAAUUUGCCUUUCUCAACAGUCAUUGUCAAGGUCUGAACUGAAGAAGCAAGUUGUCCUACCAUCUUCUCGAGACUUGAAACUGAUUGGGCUUGUGAGUUGACGCCUGCUCUCAACUCAUUUCGUAGUCCAUCAAUGGUGCGGUUCUUUUACUCAAUCGUAGAGUGAGUAACAUUCUUGAAAUUCUAGAAUGCAUCUUGUUGAGUGUUAGAAAAUGUAUAUUUAUAAAGGAGAAAAUCGUCAUUUUACACUUCAAGUUUUACUAACACCCUUACUUUUAUGUAUUUAACCUUCUUUUGAUUUAAUUCCGUAUGUUUUAUUUUAAAUAAGUAUUUCAUGUAUUUUAGGGGCAUCAUAGUCAUUUCACAAUAAACGAGAGAUCAGACGACAAAACAGACAUCACUUUUGAACUCAGGACGGUUGAAAACCUUAGGAAGAGCAUAAAAGGAAAAAUGGCACUGUUCACAUGUACGGUACUAUUCACGUGUACGGUACUAUCUAUGUUACUGUUCACGACACUGUUCACAUAGACGGUUCAAUGACGUGGCAUUGACCGAUGAUGUAGCAUUGACUGAUGAGGUGUCACGAUCCUGUUGGACUAAAAUUCUUAUACACUGUUGAUGGUGACGUGGCAACAUAUUAGUGGACCAAAAAUCUCGCGUACGGUACAUGCAUCAUGUUGUGCAAAUUUUAAUGUACUCGCAAGCGCACGAAUCUGUUGUAGUAUAGAUUAAUGGUGACGAGUGUCGAUCCCACGAGGAGGUGGAUUUUAAUUGUGUAGAAUUAAUUUUUGUGAAUGGGUGAUUGGAUUUAUGGUGGAAAUGAUUGGAAUAUGCUAAAACUUAAAUUAAAAUGGCGAGAAUAAAUUCUAAAAUUGGUAUUGAAAUGGUGAGAAUAAAUUGAAGAGAAUUCUAUUGAAAUGACGUACUUGGGUAUCUGGAUCCGUAUCAACAUGCAUCAUGGGCUAAAUAAUCCGUAUUAAUGCCAAUUAAAUCAUGAGGGGGGAAUCCACACCUCAUGAACCACGCUCUAAUCAAUAUGGUGCUAAGGGCUUAUCGUGCCAAAUAAUAAUAACCUUGUACUAGAGGGCCGGUGAAACCAAGGCGGUACUAGACAAGAUUAGUAUUAUUUGUCGACGAGAAGUCAAAACAUCCACAAAAACUAGAGGGGAAGAGAAAAUAAAUUUACCAAAUAAAGCCCAUGACACAUGUUGAGACUUCACCUUCAACCCAAGCUUGAAAGAAAAUUAGCCACUCAUAGUUGAACUAGGGGCAAAAUGGGAAUUUAUUAAAAUACGAAAAAAAUACAAGAUGGAGAGGGAAUUACAGAAAAUGGAUCCCAAAAAUGGAUUCAGAGAUAUCAAAUUAGGGGGGGGAGGCCCCCUUUUUAUAGAUACAUGGAGUAAAUCAUGGCCAUCGGAUUAAAAACAGUUUGGACGCUCAGGAUUGCGCCACGUCAUCAGUCAACAGUCCACGUUUGACCACGCGGAUGAACAGUAACACGGUUUGACCCGACUUUGAGCAGUAACGCGGUUUGACCCGGAUGAACAGUAACGCGGUUUGGUUGAAAAUAAUCCUGUGUGAUGCAUGCACCGUACGCGAGAUUUUUCGUCCACUGAUAUGCUGCCACGUCACCAUCAACAGUACAUAAGAAUUUUAGUCCAACAGGAUCGUGACACCUCAUCAGUCAAUGCCACAUCAUCGGUCAAUGCCACGUCAUCAUCCGUCUAUGUGAACAGUGUCGUGAACAGUAACGUAUACAGUAUUGUACACGUGAAUAGUACCGUACAUGUGAAUAGUGCCAUUUUUCCUUUUAUGCUCCUCCUAAGGUUUUCGACCGUCCUGAGUUCAAAAGUGAUGUCCGUUUUGCCGUCUGAUCUCUCCUUUAUUGUGAAAUGACUAUAAUGCCCCUAAAAUACAUAAAUUACUUAAUUAAAAUAAAACACACGUAAUUAAAUCAUAAGAAUGUUAAAUACAUAAAAGUAAGGGNNNNNNNNNNNNNNNNNNNNNNNNNNNNNNNNNNNNNNNNNNNNNNNNNNNNNNNNNNNNNNNNNNNNNNNNNNNNNNNNNNNNNNNNNNNNNNNNNNNNNNNNNNNNNNNNNNNNNNNNNNNNNNNNNNNNNNNNNNNNNNNNNNNNNNNNNNNNNNNNNNNNNNNNNNNNNNNNNNNNNNNNNNNNNNNNNNNNNNNNNNNNNNNNNNNNNNNNNNNNNNNNNNNNNNNNNNNNNNNNNNNNNNNNNNNNNNNNNNNNNNNNNNNNNNNNNNNNNNNNNNNNNNNNNNNNNNNNNNNNNNNNNNNNNNNNNNNNNNNNNNNNNNNNNNNNNNNNNNNNNNNNNNNNNNNNNNNNNNNNNNNNNNNNNNNNNNNNNNNNNNNNNNNNNNNNNNNNNNNNNNNNNNNNNNNNNNNNNNNNNNNNNNNNNNNNNNNNNNNNNNNNGUCAAGUUUCCAAGGGCGCAGCAACUAAUGCUGGGUUAUAUAUGCCGCUACCGAUUCCAACACAACCUUGGGCUGACAUUAGCAUGGAUUUUGUUUUAGGAUUACCCCGCACUCAGAGGGGUAUGGAUUCAAUAUUUGUUGUUGUUGAUCGAUUCUCGAAAAUGGCUCACUUCAUUGCUUGCAAGAAGACUACAGACGCUUUGACUGUUGCUCGCCUAUUCUUCAAGGAAGUCUAUAGAUUGCAUGGUUUACCAAGUUCUAUAGUAUCUGACCGGGAUACACGAUUUCUUAGCCAUUUUUGGAAGACAUUAUGGAAAUUGACUAACACUCGCCUGAAUUUUAGUAGUGCUUACCACCCACAAACAGAUGGUCAAACUGAAGUUGUCAACCGCUCUUUAGGAAACCAUCUACGUAGUCUAGUUGGCGAUAACUUGAAGAUGUGGGAUCAAAAGUUAUAUCAAGUCGAGUUUACUUAUAACCGUGCAGUUAAGCGUAGUACUGGUUUAAGCCCUUUUCAGGUAAAUUACGGAUAUAAUCCACGAGCUCCCAUUGACCUGGCUCCGGUUCCAAAUUUAGUUCGCAAAAGCGGUAAAGCAAAAGACUUUAUUGAGCAGCUUCAGAAGAUUCAUGAAACUACGCAAGAGUCUUUGAAGCAGACGACCGAAGGUUAUAAAAUUAUGGCAGACAAAAAACGUCGAGCUUUGGAAUUUCAAGUGGGAGAUUUUGUUUGGGUUAUCCUAACUAAAGAUAGAUUCUCAGUUGGUGAGUAUAAUAAACUUUCUGCCAGGAAAAUCGGCCCUUUAGAGAUUAUAGAGAAGAUAAAUCCUAAUGCCUACAGAUUAAAGCUUCCUAGUCAUAUCCGCACUGCAGAUGUAUUUAAUGUUAAGCAUCUUAUUCCUUACAGAGGUGAUCAUGAUGAAGAUGUUGCUGACAAUCCGAAUUCGCGGGCGAAUUCUCUCCACCCUGGGGGGAAUGAUGAAGAGUAGGAAUCCAUAUUAUACUAGGAUUAGUUUCCUUAUUAACUAAAGUUUAAGACUUUUAAAUUCCUUUCUAAUUUAGAAUUUUGUUUCCCUUUCAAUUUAGGAUUUUGUUUUUCCUUCAUGAAUUAGGAUAAUUACUACUACUAUAAAUAGCUCCCUCUUGUAACCUUUGAAGGAGAGAAUUUUGAGUUUAAUAAUAUUUCAAUUUUCAAAUCUCUUUGUGAGUNNNNNNNNNNNNNNNNNNNNNNNNNNNNNNNNNNNNNNNNNNNNNNNNNNNNNNNNNNNNNNNNNNNNNNNNNNNNNNNNNNNNNNNNNNNNNNNNNNNNCCAUUCCUAAAGAACAUGGGUUUCUAUCGCAACUCAUUCUGGCACACUUAUGACAAGCAACAGAAAUUCUUCGAGCUCGUCGUUUUCUUGCAUAAUUUCCUUUACCACAACCAGGCAUGAAUGCAAUAAAUUUUGGAGGUAACUCACCUGCCGAUCGUACUUUAGCCUCGAUUAACCAACGGAUGUCAGCAGGUAUGUUAUUCUUCAUGAGUAAUCGCAUGCGUUCGGACCGAGCUUUAUAGAUCAUAAGGAGGGCAUUUUGAGGAAGUGAAGGGAAUCGCUUGUGAAGCUUCGCUAGAAUCUCGUUUCUGUCCAUACUUUCGCCUCAGAAUGUCAGUUAUUGUGGGAAACUGAAGUAACCGACUUGAUUGUCACGGAGUACCGUUAUCCGCCACUUCACCGGGGUAACAAACUAAAGCACACAAACAGAAAAACAAAUCAAAACACACAAAGAAAAUUAAAAUCAUCCUCUUAUUGAAUUUACCUCAAGCUCCAACUGGAUGUCGUAAACACUUCUCUCAAUGUCUCUGAGUUGGCGUUCUAAACCCUCAACAUAAGCUACUAACUCUGGUGGUUGUAGAGCCCAAAUGCGUUGUGUUUUACAAAAUUGAAUCUGCUUUUUGAGAUGAGUUUUGACACGUUGAAGUGGUUUAAGAAUGUUCAGGAGGAACGGUCUAAGUAUGGUACUCAUGAUUAACAAUGAUAAGAAAAAAAAACUUAAUGGUAAAACAAACACACUUAUGCAAAAAUAAUUUCAAUUAGCAAAAGAAUAAUAAAAAGAAAGAAAGAAAAAUCAAAUCAACAAAAAGAAAAAAUCAAUUCAAAUCUGGUGGGUCACUCAAAUUUAUUUCGGUGUCUUCUCCAUGUGGUUGGUAUUCUAGAUAUGGCUUUAAUCUUUGACCAUUAACUUUAAACGUGACACCGUUCUUUGGGUCCUUAAUUUCAAUUGCCCCAUGUGGAAAAACAGUAUGAACAAUAAAGGGACCAGACCAACGAGAGCGUAACUUACCUGGGAAUAGGUGCAAGCGAGAAUUGAAUAAAAGCACUUUCUGACCUGGAGUGAACGAUUUUCUCAUAAUUUGCUUAUCAUGGAAGACUUUCAUUCGUUGCUUGUAAAUCUUGGCAUUUUCGUAUGCAUCAUUGCGAAUUUCUUCAAGUUCUGCCAGCUGUAAUCUUCUUUCUGAGCUGGCUUGCUGCAUGUCAAAAUUGAAUUUCUUAAUAGCCCAAUAUGCACGAUGCUCGAGUUCGACAGGUAGGUGGCAAGCUUUUCCAUACACUAGCCUGUAGGGUGACAUCCCAAUCGGGGUCUUGAAAGCCGUUCUAUAUGCCCAUAAGGCAUCAUCAAGUCUUAAUGACCAAUCUUUUCUGUCCGGCCUCACCGUCUUUUCUAAUAUGUGCUUUAUUUCUCGAUUGAAGAUCUCAACUUGGCCACUGGUUUGCGGAUGAUACGGGGUCGCCACUUUGUGUGUGAUUGAAUACUUUGUCAAAAGUGCUUUGAAUGUUUUGUUACAAAAGUGGGCACCACCAUCACUGAUUAUUGCUCGAGGGAAUCCAAAGCGUGAAACAAUGUUGCUUUUCAAAAAUGCUAUCACCACCUUGUGAUCAUUGGUCCUACAUGGAAUUGCUUCUACCCAUUUUGAUACGUAGUCAACAGCAACCAAUAUGUAUUGAUGGCCAAAAGAAGGGGGAAAGGGUCCCAUGAAGUCGAUACCCCAUACGUCAAAAAUCUCAACCACUAAAAUUGGAUUUAGUGGCAUCAUGUUUCUUCGUGUAAUGCUCCCCAUUCGUUGACACCUAUCACAUGAAGAACAGAAAGUGUAAGCAUCUCGAAAUAUAGUUGGCCAAUAGAAACCACAUUGUAAAACUUUUGUAGCUGUUUUCUUAACACUGAAAUGGCCUCCACACGCUUGUUCAUGGCAGAAUGAAAGAAUAUUCUGAAUUUCAUUUUCAGGGACACAUCGUCUAACAAUUUGGUCUGCACAAUACUUGAACAAAUAUGGGUCAUCCCAAAAGAAAUUCUUUAUUUCUGCAAAGAAUUUAGCCUUAUCUUGCUUGGUCCAAUGCUCUGGAAGUUUACCUGUAACAAGAUAAUUAACUAUAUCAGCAUACCAAGGUAAUACUUCCACAUUCAUUAAUUGUUCAUCUGGAAAUGACUCAUUCAAUGGUAAUGAUUCUGUAAUUGUGUCAAAAUGGAGACGAGAGAGGUGGUCUGCCACAACAUUUUCUGUCCCUUUCUUAUCUUUGAAUUCCAAGUCAAACUCCUGCAAAAGUAACACCCAACGAAUUAGUCUGGCUUUUGCAUCUUUCUUUGUGAGAAGAUAUUUAAGAGCAGCAUGAUCUGUGAAUAUAAUUAUUUUACAACCAAUGAGAUAAGAUCGAAAUUUUUCUAAUGCAAACACUACUGCUAGCAUUUCUUUUUCAGUAGUUGAAUAGUUCAACUGUGCAUCAUUUAAUGUCAUACUAGCAUAGUAAAUAACAUGGGGAAUUCGAUCAACUCUUUGUCCUAAUACUGCUCCUACUGCAUAAUCAGAUGCAUCACACAUGAGCUCAAAUGGUAAUUUCCAGUUCGGGGGCUGAAUGAUGGGUGAUGAUGUCAACAAAUGCUUUAAUUUUUCAAACGCAACAAGACAUGAAUCAUCAAAGACAAAAGGUACAUCCUUAGCAAGCAAAUUGCAUAAGGGUCUAGAAACUUUACUAAAAUCUUUAAUGAAACGUCUAUAGAAACCAGCAUGCCCAAGGAAAGAUCUUACUUCUCUGACUGUUUUGGGUGGAGGAAGAUUAGAAAUGAGAUCCACCUUGGCUUUGUCAACCUCAAUACCUUUACUCGAAAUGAUGUGACCGAGAACAAUACCUUGUUUUACCAUAAAAUGGCAUUUCUCCCAAUUUAAGACCAAGUUCUUCUCGAUACAUCUCUGCAGAACUAGUGUUAGAUGAUGUAAACAUUGAUCAAAUGAAUCACCAAAGACAGAAAAGUCAUCCAUAAAGACUUCAAGAAAUCGUUCAACCAUAUCAGAAAAAAUGCUUAGCAUGCAUCGUUGAAAUGUAGCAGGUGCAUUACAUAAUCCAAAUGGCAUUCUCCUAUAUGCAAAUGUGCCAAAAGGGCAAGUGAAAGUAGUUUUCUCUUGAUCUUUUGGUGCUAUGGGAAUCUGAUUAUAUCCUGAGUAGCCAUCUAGAAAGCAAUAAAAUUCAUGGCCUGCUAAUCUAUCAAGCAUUUGAUCAAUAAAUGGUAAAGGAAAAUGGUCUUUACGUGUGACAGAAUUCAACUUUCUAUAAUCAAUGCAUACACGCCAUCCUGUAGUUACUCUAGUGGGUAUCAAUUCAUUAUCAGCAUUCGUAACUACUGUGACUCCUGACUUUUUGGGGACAACUUGUACAGGACUGACCCAUGAACUAUCAGAAAUUGGAUAAAUGAUACCUGCAUCUAAUAGCUUAAGGACUUCAGUUCUAACAACUUCUUUCAUGUUAGGAUUUAACCGACGUUGCAUCUCCCUAGUAGUUUUAGCAUUUUCAUCAAGGUGAAUGUAAUGCAUGCACUCUACUGGGUUUAUACAUUUAAUGUCUGCUAUGGUCCAUCCUAAUGCCCCUUUGUGCUCUUUCAAAACAUCCAACAACUUACCUUUUUGUUCGUCAUUUAGGGAUGAUGAGAUGAUUACCGGCAGAGUACUUUCUUCUCCCAAAAAUGCAUAUUCCAAUGUGUUGGGCAAUGGUUUGAGCUCGAGUUUCGGUGGUGAUUCUGAUGAUGGGAUGAGUUUCUUCUCUGAUGGUGCUAGUUGUUCAACUCUUGACUUCCAUUUAUUAAUGUCCAUGGAUGGUGUUGAGUCAAGCAGGGCGUUGACCUCAUCGACUGAUCUGUCAAUAUCAAAAUCCAAACCAAAGUGAGUUAAACAUGUUUGUAAAGGAUCAUCACUAAGGUUUGAAAGAAAAGUAUUAUCAACUAUUGUUUCUAUUAAAUCCACAUCAACAAUUCCAUCAUCUGCACUGUGAGGUUGUUUGACAAUGUUGAAAAUGUUUAGCUCCAUAGUCAUGUUGCCGAAGGACAAUUGCAUAUUUCCGGUCCUACAUUGAAUAUGAGCAUCUGCAGUUGCCAAGAAAGGUCGGCCUAGAAUAAUGGGGAUGUGCUUCCUUGAGUCCUGUAUUGGUUGAGUGUCAAUUACAAUGAAAUCAACAGGAAAAUAAAACUUGUCUACCUGGAUAAGCACGUCCUCCACAAUACCACGAGGUAUUUUCGUGGACCGAUCUGCAAGCUGUAACACCACUGGAGUUGGGUGUAAUUCUCCCAGUCCAAGUUUCACAAAUACUGAAUAAGGCAACAAAUUUACACUAGCUCCUAAAUCCAACAAAGCAUUCUCAAUUGUGUGGUUCCCUAUACUACAUGAGAUAGUGGGGGAGCCUGGGUCUUUGCAUUUUAAAGGAAUUUUAUGUUGGAGUAUAGAACUAACGUUUUCUGUUAAAAAUGCCUUCUUUUGAACAUGUAUAUUUCUCUUUUUAGUACAAAGGUCUUUAAGAAACUUGGCAUAAGAUGGAACUUGUUUAAUAGCAUCAAGUAAAGGGAUGUUAACACUUACCUGUUUGAAGAUUUCAAGAAUCUCACCUGUGGAUUUUCCCUUCUUUCCUUUAGCUAACCUUUGAGGAAAUGGAGCUUUGGGAACGUAUUCUCGUGGGUUAGUUUCUUCUUUCUCCUCCGGUGAUGAUUCCUCAACAUUCACAGGUACAAUUUGAUUUUCUUUUGUCACCGGCAUCUCCACUUUGUUGUCGACUUCCUUUCCUUUUCGCAAGGUCAUUACUGCUUUGAUUUCUCCAUGCUGCUGUGGUGAACUGGUACUUGCUUCAUGUACUCCUUUAGGAUUAGGCACUGGUUGACUUGGAAAUUUGCCUUUCUCAACAGUCAUUGCCAAUGUCUGAACUGAAGAAGCAAGUUGUCCCACCAUCUUUUCGAGGCUUGAAACAGAUUGAGCUUGUGAGUUGAAGCCUGCUCUCAACUCAUUUCGUAGUCCAUCAAUGGUGCGGUUCUGUUGCUCAAUCGUGGAGUGAGUAACAUUCCUGAAAUUCUGGAAUGCAUCCUCCCAUGGUCUGGGUUGAGAAUAAUUCUGGUUUUGAUUGAAUGGUCUAAAUGGGGGCUGAGAGGCUUGAGGAUUUUGAGGAAUUUGUUGCAUUGGUGGAGCUGGAGCUGCUGGUCCAUUCUGUUGGAAUCCUUGAGACCAUGAAAAAUUGGGGUGGUCUCUCCAUCCAGAGUUAUAUGUGUUGGAGUAUGGGUUGUAAUUAGAUGGCUUUCUCAUUACACCUAUGGCAUUGGCUUGAUCUGGAUAUGAGUCAGGGUCAUGUGAUUCUGUUGAUUUAGCAGUCGAUAACGAUGCUAUUUGUCGAGCAAGACCUUCAACCAUCUCCUUGACUUCUUUGAUUCCCGAAGUUGACUCGCCAAUGUGAACCUCAUUCACUCCUUUAAUCCUUCUAGUAUUCCUGAGUGAUCGACUCCGUUGUUGGGAAUUGUCCGCUUGUCGCUGGAAAAACUCCCAAAUUUCUGAUGCACUUUUUGACAUUAGCUCUCCUCCACUUGUUGCCAUUAGCCAUUCUUGCACAUUCGGCAAUAAUCCCUCCAAAAAGUAUUGACAUUGGUGCCAUUUUUCGUACCCAUGAUGUGGACACUUCAAGAGUAGCCCAUUGAAUCGCUCCCAAGUUUCGAAAAACUGCUCGUCCUCUCUUUGUGUGAACUCUGAAAUUUCCCUGCGAAUAGCAUUGGUUUUAUGCACUGGGAAAUAUUUAUUCAAAAAUUUAGUUACCAUUUGUUCCCAUGAUGAAAUGCUAUUAGCAGGUAAAGUAUUUAACCAUGAACGAGCUCUAUCUUUUAAAGAAAAUGGGAAUAAUCUGAGUUUAACAUCAUCGUCUGAAAAAUUCUCAUAUUUAAAUGUUUGACAAAUGGCAUGAAAAUCAUUCAGAUGAUUAUAUGGGUCCUCAUUUUCUAAGCCAUAGAAUGUGGGGAGACAAUUUAGCACACUAGGUUUUAGUUCAAAGCUCCUAGCAGCUACAUUUGGAUAUCUUAUGCAUGACGUGCUCAAAUUAGCUAAGGGACUAAAAUAGUCCUUAAAUGGCCUCUCCUGUGGUGCUUGUAAAUCCAUUUUAUUUUUAACGUGUUUGUGUGUGCGAAGUGUUUUUUCUAAUUCAAGGUCUAUAGGUUCAAGAUUAGGUAAUAAUGACCUACGACCAUGCAUGCAAAAUAAAUGAAAUAAAAAUAAAGAUGCAAACAAAACAAAUAAUAAAGAUGGGAACAAAACAAAUAAAAAUAAAGAAGAGGGAGAAAUUACGAUACUAAUCUUAUUGCGCUAUUACAACCUUUCUAUAAAAAUACACAAAAAUAAAUACGUGAAAGAAAUUAACUAAAAAUUAAAUUAAUAAGAUAAACAAAAA
rnacentral:lncRNA from 1 species